rnacentral:rRNA from 1 species
GAUGAACGCUGGCGGCGUGCCUAAUACAUGCAAGUCGAGCGAACAGAUGAGGAGCUUGCUCCUCUGACGUUAGCGGCGGACGGGUGAGUAACACGUGGAUAACCUACCUAUAAGACUGGGAUAACUUCGGGAAACCGGAGCUAAUACCGGAUAAUAUAUUGAACCGCAUGGUUCAAUAGUGAAAGACGGUUUUGCUGUCACUUAUAGAUGGAUCCGCGCCGCAUUAGCUAGUUGGUAAGGUAACGGCUUACCAAGGCGACGAUGCGUAGCCGACCUGAGAGGGUGAUCGGCCACACUGGAACUUAGACACGGUCCAGACGCCUACGGGAGGCAGCAGUAGGGAAUCUUCCGCAAUGGGCGAAAGCCUGACGGAGCAACGCCGCGUGAGUGAUGAAGGUCUUCGGAUCGUAAAACUCUGUUAUUAGGGAAGAACAAAUGUGUAAGUAACUAUGCACGUCUUGACGGUACCUAAUCAGAAAGCCACGGCUAACUACGUG